rnacentral:rRNA from 1 species
ACGAGCUUGCUCUCGGGUGACGAGCGGCGGACGGGUGAGUAAUGUCUGGGAAACUGCCUGAUGGAGGGGGAUAACUACUGGAAACGGUAGCUAAUACCGCAUAACGUCGCAAGACCAAAGUGGGGGACCUUCGGGCCUCAUGCCAUCAGAUGUGCCCAGAUGGGAUUAGCUAGUAGGUGGGGUAACGGCUCACCUAGGCGACGAUCCCUAGCUGGUCUGAGAGGAUGACCAGCCACACUGGAACUGAGACACGGUCCAGACUCCUACGGGAGGCAGCAGUGGGGAAUAUUGCACAAUGGGCGCAAGCCUGAUGCAGCCAUGCCGCGUGUGUGAAGAAGGCCUUCGGGUUGUAAAGCACUUUCAGCGGGGAGGAAGGCGUUGAGGUUAAUAACCUUGUCGAUUGACGUUACCCGCAGAAGAAGCACCGGCUAACUCCGUGCCAGCAGCCGCGGUAAUACGGAGGGUGCAAGCGUUAAUCGGAAUUACUGGGCGUAAAGCGCACGCAGGCGGUCUGUCAAGUCGGAUGUGAAAUCCCCGGGCUCAACCUGGGAACUGCAUUCGAAACUGGCAGGCUAGAGUCUUGUAGAGGGGGGUAGAAUUCCAGGUGUAGCGGUGAAAUGCGUAGAGAUCUGGAGGAAUACCGGUGGCGAAGGCGGCCCCCUGGACAAAGACUGACGCUCAGGUGCGAAAGCGUGGGGGAGCAAACAGGAUUAGAUACCCUGGUA